AUAACACUAUGAACAGCUGGGAGGACAGGAAGAUGCAAAGAGCUAACCCGUAUACCAUUCUUAAUUAUAGUAAGUUUAUGACCUACUGGGGAUAUAAAACAUCCUAUUGAUUUCUCCUGCAGCUUGUAUUAGUGGUAAUCAUCUUUUAUCUAGAGGGAAUGGAAAGUAAAAUGAUUUAUAGUUCUGUUUCUAUGGAAGCUCCUAAUUCUAAUUGCCAACAGGCUUUUAAAAAAAAUUGCUCUUACGCUAAAUUCUGACAAUGUAUUUUUAGCCCAGAGGCACAUUUUGAUGUUUGUACUCAUCCUGAACUAGGCAUUAAAAUGCUGUCAGUGGAUGGAUAUGCACCACAGAUUGAAAACUACUUGAUCUAGCACAAUACUCAUAAUUUAGUAGGAUCAUGCAAUCCUGUGUACGGUUUCCUUGGAGGAAGUCCCAUUGAGCUCAGCAAUGCUCAUUUUUGACUGCUGAGGUUCAGCUUGCAAAACACAGCGAGCUUUAGCAAAAGACCUUCAGCCGGCUGAAAUUCAAUCAUUAGCUUCCAAUCAGGAAAAUUCUCAAAGAAGUGUUGCCAUUUAAGCUGCCAGCACGAAACGCAACAAGAAAAAAUAUCCAGCCUCAUUUUCCGAAUUCUUCCACGGUCAUUCUGACACAAUCAAACAGUAAAACUUGAAAGCUUUGUUAUUACCUCAUCCAGUUGCUAGAGACAGGAGGGUCUGUCAAUUACCCUGGCACUGCAGCAGAUGAUGUCAUUGCUCUAGCUUGGUGGGUGGCGGGAUCCUAGAACUUCCCUCUUCUUCAUUCCUCUUCUAUUACGUCAAUGCACACAAGGGUGAGGAAUAAGAGAAACAUAGUUUUCCUUAAUGAUGGGUAUUCACCACCCACCUACCUUUUCAUUAGAAGUGGAUGAAGUCGUGGGGCAGAUGCAUUUACCUGGCCUCCAGGCAGGUGAGUCGCCGCUGGUUACUGAGAGGGCAAGGUGGGUAUGGUGCAAACACACCAGCAGAGCCAAUCCAGCAUUCCUGCCUAUGCGUUUGCAGCAUGCUGCCCUCUCUGCUGCCUCACCCUUCCCUUGUAUGCAGUAGUGACUCAUCUGCUGGGAGGUUAGGUAAGUGUCUCUCGGCCACCCCAUUGUCCACUAUUGCUUCUCAUUAUUCAUUGUGGUGGGCAUAUCUGGUGUUAUACGAGUGAUAGUUACAUUCUAAGUCUAUACCUCUGUGACAACAGGAUGCUGGAUUUGAUGGUGGUACAUGACACCAGUCAAGCUUGCAAAAAUAUAUUAUUUGCCCAAUAAUAAAUGUUGGAAAUGUAAAGAGACUGAAGGUACAUUUUUUCACCUUUGGUGGACGUGCCCAAAGAUUAAGACAUUCUGGGAGAUGAUUUAUAAUGAAAUGAAAAAGGUAUUUAAAUAUACCUUCCUGAAGAAACCAGAGGCCUUUCUUCUGGGCAUGGUUGGCCAAUUGGUGCCAAAAAAGGACAGAACUUUCUUUAUGUAUGCUACAACAGCAGCAAGAAUAUUCACCAUGAAGUAUUGGAAGACACAAGAUCUACCCACCCGGGAAGAAUGGCAGAUGAAGGUGAUGGACUACAUGGAACUAGCGGAAAUGACUGGCAGAAUCCGAGACUAGGGAGAAGAGUCGGUGGAAGAAGAUUGGAAGAAAUUUAAAGUUUAUUUACAGAAACAUUGUAAAAUUAAAGAAUGUUAGAAGGAUGUUGGAAUGAAGUAAUGUGAUUUUAGUAGAAAUGCUAUAAAGGUUUAAGAAAAAAUAGAUUGUUAAAUGGUGAAAGGAGGGAAAGUAAAGCUAUAAUAUAUUAAGAUAAAAUAGAGGAUAAAAACUGGAAAAGAUGGAAAGGACUUGCUGAAAUAGCUAAUUGAACUAGAAUACAAAAAAGGGAGGCGUGAGGAGGUCAAAGAAACAAGCAAAUGAAAGAUAAAUUAUG
rnacentral:lncRNA from 1 species